AAUGAACGCUGGCGGCGCGCCUAAUACAUGCAAGUCGAGCGAGAAGACGUAGCAAUACGUUUGUAAAGCGGCGAACGGGUGAGGAAUACAUGGGUAACCUACCCUCGAGUGGGGAAUAACUAGCCGAAAGGUUAGCUAAUACCGCGUACGCUCCUUGGACUUCGGUUCAGGGAGGAAAGCGAUACCGUGGGUAUCGCGCUCUUGGUUGGGCUCAUGUCCUAUCAGCUUGUUGGUGAGGAACGGCUCACCAAGGCUUCGACGGGUAGCUGGUCUGAGAGGACGAUCAGCCACACUGGCACUGCGACACGGGCCAGACUCCUACGGGAGGCAGCAGUAAGGAAUAUUGCGCAAUGGGCGAAAGCCUGACGCGGCGACGCCGCGUGGGGGAGUGAAGGUC
rnacentral:rRNA from 1 species